AGCAGCCGCGGUAAUUCCAGCUCCAAUAGCGUAUAUUAAAGUUGUUGCAGUUAAAAAGCUCGUAGUUGAAUUUCGGGGUCAGUAGGCUGGUCGUGCCACAGGUACGUACUGGUCUCACUGAUUCCUCCUUCCUGAUGAACCGUAAUGCCAUUAAUUUGGUGUUGCGGGGAAACUGGACUGUUACUUUGAAAAAAUUGAGUGUUUAAAGCAGGCUAACGCUUGAAUACAUUAGCAUGGAAUAAUGAAAUAGGACGUUCGAUCCUAUUUUGUUGGUUUCUAGGAUUGACGUAAUGAUUAAUAGGGAUAGUUGGGGGCAUUAGUAUUCAAUUGUCAGAGGUGAAAUUCUUGGAUUUAUUGAAGACUAACUACUGCGAAAGCAUUUGCCAAGGAUGUUUUCAUUAAUCAAGAACGAAAGUUGGGGGAUCGAAGACGAUCAGAUACCGUCGUAGUCUUAACCAUAAACUAUGCCGACUAGGGAUCGGAUGAUGUUAAUUUUUAAUGACUCAUUCGGCGCCUUACG
rnacentral:rRNA from 1 species